CGCAACCCCUAUCAUCUGUUGCCAGCAUUUAAGGUGGGGACGUCAGAUGAGACUGCCGGUGACAAACCGGAGGAAGGUGGGGACGACGUCAAGUCAUCAUGGCCCUUAUGUCCUGGGCUACACACGUGCUACAAUGGCCGGUACAGAGUGAAGCGAAACCGCGAGGUGAAGCAAAACGCAGAAAAGCCGGUCUCAGUACGGAUUGGAGUCUGAAACUCGACUUCAUGAAGUUGGAAUCGCUAGUAAUCGCGCAUCAGCAUGGCGCGGUGAAUACGUUCCCGGGCCUU
rnacentral:rRNA from 1 species